GACGGGGCCCGCACAAGCGGUGGAGCAUGUGGUUUAAUUCGACGCAACGCGAAGAACCUUACCAGGGCUUGACAUCCCCUGACCGCGUAUGAAAGUACGUUUCACCCUCGGGUGACAGGGAGACAGGUGCUGCAUGGCUGUCGUCAGCUCGUGUCGUGAGAUGUUGGGUUAAGUCCCGCAACGAGCGCAACCCUUAUCCCUAGUUGCCAUCAGGUAAAGCUGGGAACUCUGGGGAGACUGCCGGUGAUAAACCGGAGGAAGGCGGGGAUGACGUCAAGUCCUCAUGGCCCUUACAUCCCGGGCUACACACGUGCUACAAUGGCAGGUACAGAGGGCUGCGAAGCCGCGAGGUGGAGCGAAUCCCAGAAAACCUGUCUCAGUCCGGAUUGAAGUCUGCAACUCGACUUCAUGAAGGCGGAAUCGCUAGUAACCGCGAAUCAGCAGGUCGCGGUGAAUACGUUCCCGGGCCUU
rnacentral:rRNA from 1 species